AACUGCUCUGGUGGCCUAGUGAUUAGAGCGUCCACCUUGGAUGCGGGAGGUCAUGAGUUCGAUCCCCAGUGUCAGGUUA